AUUUUCAUUUUGGAUUUAUGGCAGCCCAAGGUCGUGUCAGAGAAUAAAAUCAAAUUAACAGGGUCAAACAUUCAGGACGACCAAGCCCAGGCAUGAAUGUGAAAUUGUUAACACAAGGGCAAUCUCUAAAGGUUUAUGGAAAUGCAAAGAAAUGUGGAUAUGGACAUCUAAGAGCUUUUAGAAUAUAAUUUCAAAGAUUAGAAAAAAAUCUCAAGCCGUCGAAGAUAGAAAAGAAAAACUGGGGAAAACAAAGAAUUGAAAUCAACAUAUAAGAG
rnacentral:lncRNA from 1 species